rnacentral:lncRNA from 1 species
GAUCGUGGUUUGUUCUGAUUGACCUAUUUGGGCGGUCAUCCCCCUUUGAGACACGUAUCUUCAGUUUUCAACUCUUUUUAAAACCUCAUAAGAGAAGACAGAGAAAGGGAGAGAGAAGGGCGGCGACCGCAGGGUCACCACCGUCACACCACCAUGACGGUCACCGUCCGGAGUCUCUGUUUUGUGGAUUUCUUGACAGUGUGGAAUGGCAUGGUUGUUGAUCUGUAAAACUUGGAACCUGCCGGAAAGUUAGUACGGUGGGAUGGUUCAUAUCCAGGCUAUUGGACAGAAGACAUGUCUCUUCUUUGUCUCUUUGCCGACGACCAACCACCCACUACCAGAGAUCCGCCACCACUCAACCGCCUGCUAAUUUUAGAGUUGUGGAUCCUAUGAGAAAAUCCAAAGGCACCUAUAAUCAUAAAUCAUGUAUCAGAUUCAAACGAAGUCACCGCAGUUCGAAGCGUCAAUGGAUGCGGCAGUGGUUGCUAUAAUCAAGUAUGUAAUUGACAUGGUCAUGGACACUAUACACCACCGUUUCCACUGCAGUCACCCCUCCUUUUCUUUUUCUUUGCAUUAAUUUAUGUUUCACUGUCCGAUGCUUCUCAAAAUAUCCACCUUUGGCGCCGACUGUUUUGCUUCGGAAGAUUGUUAGAUGUUGAGAUGCCUUGGGAUUGUAGGUUCUCACUUCUAUCUACUAUGUUUAUGUUUACAUCUUCACAUCACAGCAUUGAUCUUCUUACUACAUGUAUGAUGAAUAAAUACUUGAUAUUGGUUAAUAUUGUAAUGGAUCUCGAGUUGGGAGGUGUAUAAUUAUAGCUCUCAAGGAUAUCAUAUCAUCAUUGGUGCCCAUGCUUCAUGCAUGUAAGGUAGACUGCUUGUAAUAUAAUGGUGUUGGGUGUUUAGUCAACCAAGUGGUGAUGAUUGUUUUUAAGAUUUGUUGUUAUAUUGGGUUCAUGUGUUGUAAUACUGGGAUGUUGUAAAUAAAUUGAUAGUAUAAUAAUGACUUUCAGUGUAUUCUUAAUUUAAAGACAUAAAAUCACUGGAUUAUUUGGGAUGCUGAAAGUUGAUAUGUUCUAUCGCAACUUAGCCUAUAAUCAUCAUCCAACUACAAAAGCAGGAAUGCAAUCUUGAACCAUCUGACAAAGUUUAUUGAAUAAUCCGGUUUAACGCGUCGCAACGCGUGCGGGGUAUAAUACUAGUUAUAACUUAAAAAGAGAAAUUAACAUGAGUUUUUAUAAUUUAAAUAUAAUUGAGUUAUAUACAUUAGUGUUUUAAGUAAAUUUUAAUUUUAAUGUAUUAGU